UAAGGCUAAGAACGCUUUUGGUCGAUAAUGUAAUAAAUACAUAAAAAAUUAAUUUAAAAAAGGCAAUUAUUUAAUUGUGUGUCAUUUGUGAUGACUAAAAUUUCGAAAAAUGUUUGUGAAUGAUUUCAUACUAGAAUAAUAAUUACCAGAUGCUACCUUAUUUUGAAUGGAUGAAAAAUUCGUAGUGAAAACUUUUCAAACUGUGAAUAUAGAAUGCAUUGCACAAUAUCACUGGCUGCACGACCUCUUGUACACAUACGGAAGUUAAGCAAUAAUGAUCGCACCGUCUUAUCAAAACCACAACAUGCACCAGCACAGAAAAUUUAAUGAAUAAGUUGCUCCUGCAUAUGCAUGCAUUUCUUGAUGAAAUAUAAAUCCAAA